CCAGGCCUUGACUUUUUGUAAUGUCAACGUUUGGAUUUAAUUAUAAAAACUAAAGAAUUUUUUUAACUAUCUCGGAAUAGAUUUAACUAUUUAAACUAUUUAAACUAUUCAACUAUUUAAAAUUUCAUUUGGUUUGUUAACAAGUGACGAUAUAUCAACCCAUAUUGCUAAACUGAAAUGUCUUUGGAAUGAACUGAGUAAUGCUUUAAAGGAAAUUUAAGAGAAUGUAUUACCAGAAUUAUUGUUGGUCUUUAAAGUGUUGCUUAUUGUUCCGGUGGAGUUUGAUUCUUUUAAAUCAGAUUGGAUGCUGUUAACCAACAAUGAAAAUUGCAAAAUGGAAUUUUACAAUCAUUUACAUCACUCCAGAAUUAAACGGUAUUGUGAAACGUGACAAUGAAACAAUUGUAUAAAUGGCUCGAACAUUCAGGUUUAGUAAUAGGGAAUAUGAGCUUCCAGAAGUUUUAUGGGCUGAAUUGACUUUGACAGCAAUAUGUAUUUUACACAGAACAGCAAAAUCAUCAGUAAAGAAUAAAUGAACUAUGAAUGGGCAAAAAAUCAAGAAUCAAAGAAAAAUGUAGGAAAACAAAAAAGAAGAACAAUGGAUUUUUAUCAAUUGUUCACAAGGUUAUCUCAUUGGGUGUAAUGGAAUUGAAUUUUAUAUAAUAUGGAAUGCACAACAAUGUAAACUAAUUAUAGCAAGAGAUGUUAUAUUUGAAGAGAAAGUUAUUGAUUGUAAAAAUGAAUACGAAUAUGUCAGUCGAUCAUUUAAAGAUAUAAAAAAAUCAAACAAUCUAAAUAUUGAAUUUUUGAACUAAAUAGAAUGUGAAGAUGAAUAGAAUCAGAGAAAGAUCUGUAUCAACAGAAGAUAGUUACAUCAGCUUAUUAGAUAAAGAUAAUUAUUUCGAAAACUGCGCAAAUGGUGAAAAUUUUGAAUUAAUUCCUACAGAAAGAAAUCUUCGCAAUUGUGAAAUAAUAACAUUAAUAAAACAUUAUGAAUAUUUUAUAUUACCGGCUGAAGGUAUAGGAAAAGCACAAACACUUCAGCAACGUGUCAAGAUGUUGUUGCCAGUGAAUACAAUGUAGAAUAGUACAAGGCCAUGGAUAAUGAAGUUUAAGCGUUAUAUGAAAAUUGUACAUGGAAGUUGCCAAAUCUUUCUAAAGGUUCCAAAGGUUUGCCAUGUAAAUUGGUAUACCAUAUAAAAAUGAAUCCAGACAGUUUUGAUUGAAAAAUUCUAAGCUCGCCUCGUGAUUAAGGGUGUUUCUUUCUAGUAAUUUGGAUGAAGAAAUAUUCACGAAUCAACCCAUUGCAUAUAGGGAUGAAACGGAAAAAACUGUACACACUUAAAAAGAGCUCAUAUGGUCUCAAGCAGGCCCCGAGAUGUUGGAAUAAAAGAUUUGUGCAAUUUGUGAAAAAGUUGAAUUUGAAGGAAAGUGAAACCGAUAGCUUUUUGUUUUUUAGAGAAAAAAAAAGAUAGCAAAAUAUUUAUAGUACUUUACAAAACCAAAUAGAUAAGUAAAGAGUUCAAAAUAACUACAAAAUGAGCAACAUAUUUUUUGGGACUUGAUAUCAAGAAGGAGAAAUUAAAGUGUGUUAACUGGCAUAUACAGAAAAAUUAAUCAGAAGGCAAUGAGCAAAAAUAAAAGGCAAAAAAAUCUUCAAUUAAAGGAAGUGGUAAUCUUUUUGGUUAUAGCUAGUCAGAUUUUGCUGCUUGCGAAAAAUCUGGUAAAACAACUUCUGAUAUUCUGAAUAUGUUUGAUGAUGGAGCUGUAUCAUUAAUGAGUUAGCGUAAGUUAGUUGUAGCUACUUCAACAAUAAUAGCACUCAGUGAAGCUACUAGAUGAUUGUAUUUUUCGCAUGUUUUUAAUAUAUUUAACACGUUUUACUGCCAAAACUAUGAGAGAUAGAGCAAAAUAUUAUAUAGGUUAAUUUUUAGAUCUCGUCGUAGCGUAUUAAAAAAAAAAUAACAAAAAUUUUUGAAAAAUUUCGAAUUUUGUAAAAAAAAAUCAAAAAAAAAAGCAAAAGUUCUGACUUUGACGAGCUGUAUUUCGAAAACUAUCACUCAAAUCAAAUUGAUUGUAAGACCAAAAAUAAGGAACAAUCAAUCGUCUGUAAAACAAUAAUCUACUAAUAACACUAUGAUGUAUGGUUUCGAAGUUAUAAGCAUUUAUUUAAAUGCAGGAAGAAUCCGGUACCUUUUUUUCAACAGGCUGCAGCUCGAAAACGAGUAUACGUGUACCCCCUACCACCCAUACAAGUUCUUGCUGAAAAUCAAUCAAAGAAUCAUACCUAAAAUUGUUUGCCACUUCCAAUAUUGCUUAUAACUUCCUAACUUCCUGCUUAUCUAACUGCCAAUAUUGCUGUAUCGUCGGAAAAUAUAGCUAAAGUUACAUCGCCUUAAUCUGGCAAAUCGCUUAUAUAAAGCACGUAGAAUGUAGGACCCAUAAUACUGCCUUGAGGUACACCAGCCCUAAUUUCUGUAAGCGGGGAGUACUCGCUGUCCUGUUUGAUAUGGAAACUACCAGAUAAAUAUGAUUCAAGUAACUCCACAAAUUGCAAAAGUAAAAAUUUGUUAAGUUUAUAUAAUAAACCGUCGUGUCAAACUUUAUCGAACGCCAGGGCUCCAUCCAGAAAUAUUGUCUUUUCCACAAUCUUUGUUAUUCUAUGUACUUGCUCAAUUGUUGCGUGCUUUGUUCUAAAACCAAAUUUUUGUGUGUUUGAUGGUUUGGAAUCAAUUUCUUAUUUUCUAUUAAUUUCUAUAUUUUAUUUAAGGCUGAAGCCUUGUUAAAAACAAUUUUUCCAAAACUUUUGAUAUAACUGGUAGUAGAGACUUAUUCAAGAUCUUCCCCGAUUUUCCUAUCAUGAUAACUUCUGCUACUUUCCAAGUACCAGAAACAUAUCUCAGAUUAAUUGCUAUAUUUAUCAAUUUUUUCAAAAAUGCCAUAGCCUUUUUCGACAAUUUUCUUAACUUCUUAGCCGUAAUGAGAUCAAAACCUGGGGCCUUAAUCGGUUUUUGUAAUUUCAUCGCAUGGCAAAUUUCUUUUUCAUUAAAUAAAGCCAUAGUGCUUUCAUCCAUAUCAAAAUCUUCUACUAAAAAAACAAUAUUUUCAUUUGGUUGAAAAAUUCCCUUCAAGUCAUCAAUAGCGCAGAUUCAUCCCUGUUACUUUGUCGGAUCAAAGUUAAAAUCCAACAAGUCGGACUUCUAGUAGAAUAUAGGAACAUCCUAACUCCCAAAUAACUUUCCUAAAUUCCCAUCUAGUUAAGGUCAAUCUAGAGCCCCGAUCCACAUAUAAAAUUCAGCCCGCGCAUAGCAGAUGCUUAAAAAUAUUCAUUUUUACGUUACAUCUUGGUGGAUAAUAUAUUGAACCAACAUCAAAGUUCCGCUUUGUAGACUCAAGACUAACCAUAACGCAUUGAACCUCUUCAGUCUCUAUUUUGGA